rnacentral:rRNA from 1 species
CAAUAGCGUAUAUUAAAGUUGUUGCAGUUAAAAAGCUCGUAGUUGGAUUUGGGACGGGGGUCGCUCGGUCGGCCGCGAGGUCUGUUACUGUGCGGCCCCGUCAUUUACACUCUCGGAGACCCGUCGUGCACUUCGCUGUGCGCGGCGCUGGGACUCGGGACGUUUACUUUGAAAAAAUUAGAGUGUUCAAAGCAGGCUCUGCCAGCCCGGAUACAUGAGCAUGGAAUAAUGGAAUAGGACCGCGGUUCUAUUUUGUUGGUUUCUACGACCGCAGUAAUGAUUAAGAGGGACAAUUGGGGGCGUCCGUAUUUCGUUGUCAGAGGUGAAAUUCUUGGAUUUACGAAAGACGAACAACUGCGAAAGCAUUCGCCAAGAGUGUUUUCAUUAAUCAAGAACGAAAGUUAGAGGAU